UACGUAGGUGGCAAGCGUUGUUCGGAAUUAUUGGGCGUAAAGGGCGCGUAGGCGGCCUUGCAAGUCAAAGGUGAAAUCCCUCGGCUCAACUGAGGAACUGCCUUUGAAACUGCAAGGCUUGAGGCCGGGAGGGGGUAGCGGAAUUCCCAAUGUAGCGGUGAAAUGCGUAGAUAUUGGGAGGAACACCAGUGGCGAAGGCGGCUACCUGGACCGGUUCUGACGCUGAGGCGCGAAAGCGUGGGUAGCAAACAGG
rnacentral:rRNA from 1 species